rnacentral:snRNA from 1 species
UUAGCUCUCUUUGCCUUUUGGCUUAGAUCAAGUGUAGUAGUGAGUUUCGGAACAUAAUCAAGGCCUUGGCACUUGAUCUGAGCCAGCUCCUUGCUAACGAUUGUCCAGUCUGUUCUUUUCAGUUUAAUCUCUGAAACGACCUUACGAGGUCUUCAAGAUUAUUCUUAUUUUUGAAACUCGUCGAUGGAUCACUGGGCUUGCUCAUAUCCAUCGGCACAGUGUCGUCUCCCUCACACUACCGGAGAACGUACGCGACCCGCC